UCCAUUCAUCUCCGUAUAUAAAUGCCCAAGUCUCAUCCCAUCUCCCUCUUGGAAAGUAUUCGCGUGUGGUUUCGGUUUCUCUAUAUAUAAAAAAGAGAAAAUCCUAACUUUCUCUCCUCCCAUCCUCCUUGAAUUUCCCCAAAAGGAGAGAAUUUCAGAAACCCUAGCUCUUCAUGCUGUGAGAUUUUCGAGAGAUUGAGAUCUAUCUACGGCAUGGAGAGGAUCGUCGGCGAGAAAUUCAAGCUAGGCCGUAAGAUCGGCAGUGGAUCCUUCGGACAAAUUUAUCUCGCGACGCAUGUUGACACGCAUGAGAUCGUCGCGGUGAAGAUUGAAAACAGCAAGACGAAACAUCCACAAUUGCUUUAUGAGGCAAAGCUAUAUAACAUUCUUCAGGGAGGAAGUGGUAUUGCCAACAUCAAAUGGUGCGGAGUAGAUGGGGAGGAUAACAUUCUUGUUCUUGACUUGCUAGGGCCAAGUCUUGAAGACCUGUUUGUCUAUUGUGGAAGGAAAUUUUCGUUGAAGACAGUCUUGUUGUUGGCUGAUCAGAUGAUUACAAGGAUAGAGUAUGUUCACUCAAAAGGGUUCUUGCACAGGGACAUCAAACCAGAUAACUUCCUCAUGGGUCUUGGCCGGAAAGCAAACCAGGUCUACAUCAUUGAUUUUGGACUUGCAAAAAGAUAUCGGGACUCUACAACCAACCGCCAUAUUCCUUACAGGCAUAACAAAAAUUUAACAGGCACUGCACGCUAUGUAAGUUGCAACACUCAUCUCGGCAUUGAACAAGGUAGACGGGAUGACUUGGAAUCUCUUGGAUAUGUUCUCUUGUAUUUUCUAAGAGGGAGCCUUCCAUGGCAGGGUCUGAGAGCUGCCACAAAGAAGCAAAAAUAUGAUAAGAUAUGUGAGAAGAAGUUGUCAACACCUAUUGAAGUUUUGUGCAAGUCCCAUCCUGUGGAGUUUGCAUCAUACUUCCAUUACUGCCACUCGUUGACAUUUGAUCAAAGGCCUGAUUAUGGAUUCUUGAAGCGCUUAUUUCGUGACUUGUUCACUCAGGAAGGAUAUGAGUUGGAUUAUGUUUUUGAUUGGACCAUCUUAAAAUAUCAGCAAGCCCAAAGAGCAAAGCCUCAACCUCAACUUUCUCCAGCAUCUGGAGGGAUGAGCAGUCGUGCAAUAGCAAUUGAUGUUGACAAGCAUCAAGGGGGAAAUGGUGUUUCUCAUUCAGCCGAGGUUGCAGAUCGAAUGGGAUUGAGUAAUGCUGCUCGCCCUGGAGUUCAAAUGCAAUUUAAAUCAGCAAUCAAUAAAAAUUUGGGUGCUGACAAUCUUCGUAGUGAAAAGAAUAAAGCAGGGACUUUUGGGGAGAGAGAUCACAUGCCAUCUACUUCAUUUGCUCCUUCGGGUGUGUCUAGGAGAAAUGCCAUAAGCUCAAAACCAGUGUUGCCAACUGAAGCUGUACACAAUGGUCUAGGAGCAGGUAAUACUGUUGGAUCUUCAAGUAGCUGGCUUCGAUCAUUGCAACGCAAUUCAUCAGCCAAAUAAUUGGAGUGGCUCUGGAGAGAGUUUCACAGAACACAAUGAAGAGGCUGUGAAGGUGCCUGCAAAUUAUCGUUGCACGACUCACUUUCUGGAUUCGGCAGACACUGUAUUUUUAUUAAGUAAUCUAGUGUUUCAGGGUGCUGGCUUUAACACUUUCUUUAUGGGCUUGCCUCAGAACGUGAUGCUCUGAUCAGUCGAAAGGCAGAAACUUAAUCAAUAUCAGCAGUUUAUGUGGUCUGCACUUGUUUUCCAGAGAAAUAUGUUUAACAUGGGCCUCACAACUCACUCAAUCGGGAGUUGACAAAUGCAAGCUACGUGGCCUCUGGUCUAUGUGCUUAUGAAGUUGCCCGAUUGUGGGAUUUUCUCUGUCAUCCUCUGGGCAUCAUCAAUCAAAUUGUACAGAAGGAAUGGAGGAAUGGAAGAUUACAACUUACAAGUUUGACGGCCAGGCUAUAGCCUCUGCUAAUGUUACCAUCGGCAUAAACAAAUAUGCAGUGCAGGAGAGCAGGUCCUAUCAGAGGUAUAUUUUGCAAGGUCGGAGAGAGGGAAGGCAAUGUUGAGAUGGCCGGGCCAUUCUCGUUGUACCUGCUGGCCACUCGGUUUCUCUCUCUCUCUCUCUCUCUCUCUCUCUCUCUCUCUCAUAGUACAAUAAAAUCUGACGAGUUGGAAGAAUGUUUUUUGGUUUUAGUGCUCUUGCCACUAAGGGCAGGGUGAUAUGAGAUGCCAUCCAUAUCCUGGCAUGGUGUGUUUUCUCAUUAUCAGAAGUCGUAAUGGCCAGUGACUUGUGUUCAAUGGUGUAUUAUGCCUGCCUUUGGUGAUGCUCAAAGAACAGGCAGGUCUUGCCCUUGCGAGGCUAGAUGAGAUGCUGUUUUGAUGGAUUGUCUGGAUGCAGGUAGAAGUUUCCUCUCUGUAAAUGGGCAGUAUGUUGUUGUGUAGCGACUGAAAUUGCCUCUAGUCGGCAUCAGGUAUCUAAUACCUAGUAUGAUGAGUUAGGAUGGAGGUUUGGUGUUUUAGAGUAGGGCCAAAGUGGAGCCAACUGGACCGGGAUGCAGCUACUUGGAUGCGGUUUUGUUGUCUCCGCAGAACAAAGCAAAAGUUCCACAACUGCUCGGUUUAUUUAAGCAGAGUGGCACAUGGCCUUUUGCCCAAAAGGUUACCCCUGGGAUGCAUUGGUAGAACUGGUUGGUUAUUACGGUGAAGAUGUUUGUCAAAGUUGUCCAAUGGAUGCAAGGCCCAUACUGCUUGGUUUGGGAUAUUCUCAGGCGAUGCUUUAUCCGUUUUAGGUGAUAGGAAUUAUACAAUACCAACCUGAGUGUUUGCACGCCAACUGUUUAUGCGUUGAGCGUGUACGGGUAGGCGUUCAGCGUUCCAAGCCAUGGAUGUGGUUGGUCAGUGCAACUUGGAUUGCAGACUUGGAUAUCCAAGUUGGAUUCGACUCGUCCAAAUGGACUAGGGGUCGGUUGAGUCCCAUCUCGUUCAUUGCCAUUAAAUCACUUCACGUGAGAUGUCUGAGCUCCACCAAGGUUCACCUCGUGGUGGAGUCAUGACUUAAAAGACUAGACAAAUCGAGUUGGUAUAUGUCGCUGAGUCAAAAAACAAUAUCUAUGCGCUGAAAAUUUCCCAGUCCCCGAUUUGUCAACGGUGACUUCACAUAUGGAUGGUUAAGAAAGGGUGACAACAGUUGAUAUUCCACAAAAAAGGUGGCCGAAUGUUCUGUAGAAUUUCCAUUCUGGGCCAUUUUCUAUGCAUGGGUCAUCAAUAUUGUGGCCCCUAAUGUCAAUGGUCUGGAUUAAUGAAGAUGAGCCCAACUUAAAAAGUUUGUGCAAUCUCUCACCCUAAUUUCUAUGAUGCGCUUGUGAAAUGUACUGUGUUUUAUCCUUCGAUGCAACCGGGUCUCCUACUGCAUGAAGACCCACAGUCACUAAUAAAGCUGUGAUCCUAAUAUUUUAGCCAAUAUUUAGCAUUUUGUCUUGUGUGGGUGAUCCUAGCAGUCCUGUGGGUCUCCUCUAGGAUGGGUGAUGCCUUAAGCCCCCGAUCAGAUGACCCUGGUCAUCCAACCGGCCUUCUGCUGGCUGUUGCAUCAUCCACUGUUUGUUCACAUGCUGCAGUUAGCAGCGGCCUUGGAUGGUGGAUCUGAAGGAUGGUCUAUCAGCUGAGAAGAGGGCCCACAUGAAUCCGUUGGGUUGGUUGAGCAAAAGAGUAACGAGAAAUGAUCACAUGCACUGUUAUGCAAACUUUCACAUGCAGCAUGUAUUCCUGUGGAUCUGUUCGUAAAUCACAUGCAAUUUUUGCAAAAUAUGAUCGGCGUUGUAGAUGGUGUGGUCCAUGUUAUGAAUGGACCAGCCUAAUUUUGGCCUCG